rnacentral:rRNA from 1 species
CACGUAGAAGACUAGUGUUAUUCAUCUUUAUUAGGUUUAAAGGGUACCUAGACGGAAAAUCAAGCCAUAAUAGGGACUAAUUUUCUAGAGUUUUAUGAGAGAAGGGGCGAAUUUCCGGAGGAAAGUUGAUAUUUUGUGAUACUGGAAGGACGGGUAACGCGAAGGGCAACCUUUUUAUGUAAAAACUGACGUUUGAGGGACGAAGCCCUGGGUAACGAGAAGG